GGAUUUUAGGAGGUAUGGGUAAAUCUAGACGAUCGCCCUUCAGAGAAGUAUCAAACACAAUUGGAUUAGGUAACCAAGAACCUCAUGUCCCGAGUCCACAAGCGACAGAUCCAAAGGAGGCAAAAAGGCAGCGAGAGAGGGACCCAUUUGCAGGGAUGUCUGCGGAACAAAAGAUAGAUCAGGUUAAAAAGCAGCGUGUCUCAAAUAUGUCUGAUGAGAAGAGGGCUGAGCUGAACAGGAAGCCUAGAGAAUCGUACAAGAGGAGGAAAGCUCAAUCUGCAGGCGUUGAGAAUGUUCGUGCCGGCGGUUCGGAUGUUGAUCCUUUAACAGAUCUGAACACAGCUGAAGAGGAUGCCGACUGGCUGCAUCGCAAUGAAUCUUACUAACCAGGGGUCACGCGGGGCGCAGAUGAGCUUGGGGCUCCGAGGAAAGAAGAGAACAACGUGAUGCCACUUUUAGGACAUCCCCGGGCCUGGAG